AUCUGAGUUUUUCAACUCUAAAACCAUUUGUGAACAUACCUUCUUGAGCUGCUGCUUUGGCAGGGUCCUUCGGGAUUUGCCGGUAGUAUUACAAAACUCUUUUAUAUUUCUAGAGAAUUAUUCAUUGCUGAGUUGCAUUAACUAAAUAAGUUA
rnacentral:misc_RNA from 1 species